GCCUGUGUGUGGGUACUUCUAUUGGCUAUCUCUCUGCAUGGCUAGGAGAAGGGAACAAAAGUUCCUUGUGGUGCUCACGAACAGAUUUGGUGAGUCAUUGCAGAGGAGGGAAGUUCUGUUAGAGGCUUUUUAUAUUGAUUUGUUAGCUGCUAAAAGGCUGCUGAGAACAAGCAUGUUGAUUUGCUGGUUGAGAGGGAAGGUUGAAUUGAUCUGAUGUCACAGUGGUAAAUUUUGUACAUGAGGGUAUAGGAAGAUAAAAUGGGGAUGACUUUACAGCAGGGAUAUUGGACCUGGUGCUGUCAGUAGCUGCACUGCCAAACUUUGAAAAUAAAAUAAAUGGUGAGUAGUUUUCAGCUGCUGUAGAAAUAAAGACUUUGUUUCUCAAGUAAUAAGCUAGGAAUAUUUCUAGCCAUUAACUACCUAUAAAAAAUAAGCCAGCCUAUUUCACACAGGAAAUUAUUCAGAAAAAGGCCUCAAAUAAUUUACACAUUAAAAAAAAUCUCUUUUAAAAAGUAUUAAGCCAAUAGGAGCAGCUUAGCUCAAAUGUACCCAUCCCAGAUAAUCCAGCUUCCACCAAUAUGUUACUGAUCUGGCACCACUGAAGGAAAAAGGUAUUUCAGGGAUAUUUGUGCAGCUGGGAAAGAUUUUAAAAUUUAAAUUCUUAAUGGGAAACUUACGAACACACUAGAGCUGAGCGAAUAUUUCAUAAUGAAUAAUUUAUAUGACAAUAACAAUAAUAAUACUAUUAGGCUGCUGUAAUUCAUGCUGUGGCUAACAAAGAUCAGUUCAUAUUAUGAGGAAGGUGGAACCUUCUUUUUGACAGCUCCUUGUUACUCCACUGCUGCCCUAAAAGAGAGUUGGUUCAU